ACUGAACGCUGGCGGUAGGCCUAACACAUGCAAGUCUAACGGCCGCACAGUAAGACCUGGCUCUUCCGGGAGGCGAGUCGCGCACGAGUGACGAAUACAUCGCACUCUACUUUUUCUUGGACGACACCGACGGGAAACUUACGCUAAUACCGCAUACUACCUACGGCUGAAACCAGGGAAUCUUCGGACUGUGCGCGAUUCAAUCAGCCAAUGCCGAAUUAGCUAGUAGGCGGGGUAACUGCCCACCAAGCCGUCGAUCCGUAACCGGUCUUUGAGGAUGACCAGCCACACGGGAACUGAGACACGGUCCAGACUACUACGGGAGGGAGCAGUGGGGAAUAUUGGCCAAUGGGCGCAAGUCUGAACCAGCCAUACCGCGUGGGUGAAGAAGGCCUUCGGGUUGUAAAACCCUUUUGUUGGGAAAGAAAAGCAGCAGGUUUAUACCCCCCUGUUCUGACGGUACCCAAAGAAUAAGCACCGGCUAACUUCGUG
rnacentral:rRNA from 1 species